UACAGAGGGUGCAAACGUUGUUCGGAAUCACUGGGCAUAAAGCGUACGUAGGCGGCGUCGUAAGUGUCGGAUGAAAUCCCACGGCUUACCCGUGGAACGGUCCGGCAUACUGCGGUGCUAGAGGAUGGUAGAGGAGAGCGGAACUCUUGGUGGAGCGGUGAAAUGCGUAGAUAUCAGGAGGAACACCGGUGGCGAAGGCGGGUCUCUGGACAGUUCCUGACGCUGAGGCACGAAGGCCAGGGGAGCAAACGGG
rnacentral:rRNA from 1 species